AGUGAACGCUGGCGGUAGGCCUAACACAUGCAAGUCGAACGGCAGCACCGUAAGAGGUUGCUCUUACGGGUGGCGAGUGGCGGACGGGUGAGGAAUACAUCGGAUUCUACUUUUUCGUGGGGGCUAACGUAGGGAAACUUACGCUAAUACCGCAUACGACCUAUGGGUGAAAGCAGGGGAUCUUCGGACCUUGUGCGAUUGAAUGAGCCGAUGUCGGAUUCGCUAGUUGGCGGGUUAGAGGCCCACCAAGGCGACGAUGCGUAGCUGGUCUGAAAGGAUGAUCCCACAGCCUGGCAGUGAGGAUCGGUCCAGACACCGACGGGAGGAAGCAGUGGGGAAUAUUGCGCAAUGGGGGCAAGCCUAAUCCUGCCAUACGGCGGAGGUGAAGAACGCGUUAGGGUUGGAAAGCCAUUUUGUUGUGAGAGAAGAACAGCAGUUUUAUCCCCCACUAUUCUGACGGUACCCAAAGAAUAAGCACCGGCUAACUUCGUG
rnacentral:rRNA from 1 species